rnacentral:rRNA from 1 species
AGCGAACGCUGGCGGCAGGCCUAACACAUGCAAGUCGAACGAACCUUUCGGGGUUAGUGGCGGACGGGUGUGUAACACGUGGGAACGUGCCUUUAGGUUCGGAAUACCUCAGGGAAACUUGUGCUAAUACCGAAUGUGCCCUUCGGGGGAAAGAUUUAUCGCCUUUAGAGCGGCCCGCGUCUGAUUAGCUAGUUGGUUGAGGUAAUGGCUCACCAAGGCGACGAUCAGUAGCUGGUCUGAGAGGAUGAUCAGCCACAUUGGGACUGAGACACGGCCCAAACUCCUACGGGAGGCAGCAGUGGGGAAUCUUGCGCAAUGGGCGAAAGCCUGACGCAGCCAUGCCGCGUGAAUGAUGAAGGUCUUAGGAUUGUAAAAUUCUUUCACCGGGGACGAUAAUGACGGUACCCGGAGAAGAAGCCCCGGCUAACUUCGUG